AAGAGAAAGCUUACCAACAAGAAAAGCACAAGCUUUCCAUGUACCAGUCUUGGAGGAAAGAACAGGACGACCUCGAAGAUCAACAGUGCCAUCCCACGGAGAGAGCAAAAUUAUUCAGCAAGUUGAGGGAAAAAGGAGAUUCAGAAUAUAGUGGAGAUGUUGAACUUCCACAGCUAUAAAUAGCCCAAAAUUUCAUGUUACUGAAAGUAAUGGUGAGCACGGUUCGACCGAAUUGACCGAUCUAUUUUGAGUGAAUUCGGUUAAUUUUUUUGUUAGUUUGAUUAUUCUGAUCGAUUGAUUAACAUUUAUUUUUGAUUCAGUUAUAGAUAAUUUUUUUAA